rnacentral:rRNA from 1 species
GAUGAACGCUGGCGGCGUGCCUAAUACAUGCAAGUCGAGCGAACGGACGAGAAGCUUGCUUCUCUGAUGUUAGCGGCGGACGGGUGAGUAACACGUGGAUAACCUACCUAUAAGACUGGGAUAACUUCGGGAAACCGGAGCUAAUACCGGAUAAUAUUUUGAACCGCAUGGUUCAAAAGUGAAAGACGGUCUUGCUGUCACUUAUAGGUGGAUCCGCGCUGCAUUAGCUAGUUGGUAAGGUAACGGCUUACCAAGGCAACGAUGCAUAGCCGACCUGAGAGGGUGAUCGGCCACACUGGAACUGAGACACGGUCCAGACUCCUACGGGAGGCAGCAGUAGGGAAUCUUCCGCAAUGGGCGAAAGCCUGACGGAGCAACGCCGCGUGAGUGAUGAAGGUCUUCGGAUCGUAAAACUCCGUUAUUAGGGAAGAACAUAUGUGUAAGUAACUGUGCACAUCUUGACGGUACCUAAUCAGAAAGCCACGGCUAACUACGUG